rnacentral:rRNA from 1 species
UACGAAGGGGGCUAGCGUUGCUCGGAAUCACUGGGCGUAAAGGGUGCGUAGGCGGGUCUUAAGUCAGGGGUGAAAUCCUGGAGCCCAACUCCAGAACUGCCUUUGAUACUGAGGAUCUUGAGUUCGGGAGAGGUGAGUGGAACUGCGAGUGUAGAGGUGAAAUUCGUAGAUAUUCGCAAGAACACCAGUGGCGAAGGCGGCUCACUGGCCCGAUACUGACGCUGAGGCACGAAAGCGUGGGGAGCAAACAGG